rnacentral:rRNA from 1 species
UACGAAGGGGGCUAGCGUUGUUCGGAAUUACUGGGCGUAAAGCGUAUGCAGGCGGAUCGUUAAGUCAGGGGUGAAAUCCCGAGGCUCAACCUCGGAACUGCCUUUGAUACUGACGAUCUUGAGUCCGGGAGAGGUGAGUGGAACUGCGAGUGUAGAGGUGAAAUUCGUAGAUAUUCGCAAGAACACCAGUGGCGAAGGCGGCUCACUGGACCAUAACUGACGCUGAGGCGCGAAAGCUAGGGGAGCAAACAGG